UACGUAGGUGACAAGCGUUGUUCGGAAUUACUGGGCGUAAAGGGCUCGUAGGUGGCCAACUAAGUCAGACGUGAAAUCCCUCGGCUUAACCGGGGAACUGCGUCUGAUACUGGAUGGCUUGAGUUCGGGAGAGGGAUGCGGAAUUCCAGGUGUAGCGGUGAAAUGCGUAGAUAUCUGGAGGAACACCGGUGGCGAAGGCGGCAUCCUGGACCGACACUGACACUGAGGAGCGAAAGCCAGGGGAGCAAACGGG
rnacentral:rRNA from 1 species